GAUGCGGAUGUAGUCAUUUGGCAAGUUUCCAGCACUGACUUUCCUAAGUGUUGCAGCUGCACAUGUAAGACAAACGCCCAUGCUGACUUUAAACUCGCGCCCAGUAAUCUUAGGCUCCUCACUAUAACCUUCCAAUAUGGCCACGAAAGCCCCAAAACAAUGAAUCUGCCAGAUCUUGAACUGGAGCCUCUAAAACCGUGAGCAAAAACCACACCGUGUCCAGAAAGCUCACAAAUCCCUGUAAUCCAGCUCCAGGGGAUCUGACGCCCUCUUCUGGCCUCCACGGGCACCCACACUCACGAGAUCAUACCCCUCCACACACAUAAGCAUACAUGUAAUGAAAAAUAAAAAUUUUAGUGAAAAAAUUUCUCAGUGUGUUCAUUUAUCUGUGUGUAUUUGUAGCUGGCUGGCUUGUGACAUAGUCUUGUUAUGUAGCCCAGGCUGCCCUCAAGUUUUUGGUUCUCAUGACUCAGUCUUCAGAGGGCUUGGAUUACAGGUGUGAGCCAUCAUACCCACUUUCUUGCUUAUUUCGG